rnacentral:rRNA from 1 species
UACGUAGGAGGCGAGCGUUGUCCGGAAUUACUGGGUGUAAAGCGCGUGUAGGCGGUGAGUUAAGUCUGUUGUGAAAGCCCCGGGCUCAACCUGGGAAUUGCGCGCGAAACGGGGGGGCUUGAGUUCGGGAGAGGAGCGUGGAAUUCCCAGUGUAGAGGUGAAAUUCGUAGAGAUGCGGAGGAACACCGAUGGCGAAGGCAGCCCCCUGGGCUAACACUGACGCUCAGGCACGAAAGCGUGGGGAGCAAACAGG